rnacentral:rRNA from 1 species
UAGGGAAUCUUCGGCAAUGGGGGCAACCCUGACCGAGCAACGCCGCGUGAGUGAAGAAGGUUUUCGGAUCGUAAAGCUCUGUUGUAAGAGAAGAACGUGUGUGAGAGUGGAAAGUUCACACAGUGACGGUAACUUACCAGAAAGGGACGGCUAACUACGUGCCAGCAGCCGCGGUAAUACGUAGGUCCCGAGCGUUGUCCGGAUUUAUUGGGCGUAAAGCGAGCGCAGGCGGUUUAAUAAGUCUGAAGUUAAAGGCAGUGGUUUAACCAUUGUUCGCUUUGGAAACUGUUAAACUUGAGUGCAGAAGGGGAGAGUGGAAUUCCAUGUGUAGCGGUGAAAUGCGUAGAUAUAUGGAGGAACACCGGUGGCGAAAGCGGCUCUCUGGUCUGUAACUGACGCUGAGGCUCGAAAGCGUGGGGAGCAAACAGG